AGAGCAUUCUUAGAGUGUUACAUAGCAGGGAAUAUAGAGCAUGAUGAAGCAGAGUCAAUUGUUCAUCAUGUUGAAGAUGUUUUAAUGGUUCUCAUCCUAUAUGCAAGCCUGUGCUCCAAUCCAGCUCAUGACAAGCAGACUCGUCACACUCGAUGAGGGUGUAAGUUCCAUCUACUCAACUGAAGGCCUAAACUCAAAUGAUGAGAAUUCUGCAUUGCUUCACAUUAUUCAGAUCCAUCAAGAUGACAUUACUUUGAAUGUACAACUUCAGCUUUUGGCUUUUAUUGCAUGGCAUGAAGCCUUCCACCAGCUCAGAACAGUUGAGCAACUUGGUUAUGUCUGUUUGGUCACACAUCGAUAUGACCUCGGUGUGCAUGGCCUGCAGUUCACUGUUCUGUUUGCUGUGAAGGUAUACCACAAGGUUCUCUGUGUUUUGACUGCCUCAUCACAUUUAACUCCUUCACUUUGUUAAUCUUAACGGGGUCCAAAGUACAUCGACACACGGGUCCAGAGCUUUCUUGAGUCUUUUGAAAGUAAACUCCUUAAGAUGAGUGAGGUUGAUUUCAAGAGCCAUUUAAACACACUAAUUGAAUCAAAGAUGGAGAAGGACAAGAAUUUGUGGGAAGAAUCUGAGCGUCACUGGGAAGAGAUAACUAAUAGAACUCAACUUUCCUAUUUGAUCGAAUAGAAACUGAGGUCGCAACAUUAAGGAAGCUGGCAAAACAAGAAUUGAUAGCUUUCUUCAACGAGCACAUACGAAUUGGAGCGCAGGAAGGUGCUUAGUGUACGAGUUUAUGGGAGCAAGCAUACAUCAAAUUUUGAAGUGGAUAACAAUGAAGCAAUUGGACCAAACACAAUACGAAUAGAUAACAUUUUCAGCUUUAGGGCAUCGCAACCUCUUUACGGUUCACACAAAAGAGGGUAU